rnacentral:rRNA from 1 species
CCUACGGGGGGCUGCAGUGGGGAAUAUUGGACAAUGGGGGGAACCCUGAUCCAGCCAUGCCGCGUGUGUGAAGAAGGCCCUCGGGUUGUAAAGCACUUUCAGUGAGGAAGAACGCCUGGUGGUUAAUACCCAUCAGGAAAGACAUCACUCACAGAAGAAGCACCGGCUAACUCCGUGCCAGCAGCCGCGGUAAUACGGAGGGUGCGAGCGUUAAUCGGAAUUACUGGGCGUAAAGCGCGCGUAGGUGGCUUGAUAAGCCGGUUGUGAAAGCCCCGGGCUCAAUCUGGGAACGGCAUCCGGAACUGUCAAGCUAGAGUGCAGGAGAGGAAGGUAGAAUUCCCGGUGUAGCGGUGAAAUGCGUAGAGAUCGGGAGGAAUACCAGUGGCGAAGGCGGCCUUCUGGACUGACACUGACACUGAGGUGCGAAAGCGUGGGUAGCAAACAGGAUUAGAUACCCUUGUAGUC